ACGUAAAGCUGCAGUUUCUUGGCAGAGUUUUAAGUGGCAAGAUACAUUGGGGUUUGUUGGAGCUGUUGACAGUAAUGAAUCAAUCAAAGACCGAAACUUAUCAUGUUAGCUUGCCAUACAGUUGAAGGCAGGAGUCACUUGCUUCAGGAAAAAAGCUCGCAGUUGAGGAGUUACGGUUAAAAUGCUGCAAAAAAGCACCUUGAAGUAGUGCAGUAAUAAUACCAAGCGACUACAUUUAAUUGGUUUUUGGUACCCGAUUAGAAAAUCUAAUGAGUUGUUUUAUGAAUUUGUUCAUGAGUUUCAAUCAAAAUGGUCAUGGAUCGUCUCGUCGAUAAAGGUCUUAUUUUUCUUGUAGUGUCAGUUCCUACUACUUUUGGCGAUAAAUUUAGACCUAUAGCGAUGUAUUGUUAC
rnacentral:misc_RNA from 1 species